rnacentral:rRNA from 1 species
AUUGAACGCUGGCGGCAGGCCUAACACAUGCAAGUCGAACGAGUGGCGGACGGGUGAGUAAUGUCUGGGAAACUGCCUGAUGGAGGGGGAUAACUACUGGAAACGGUAGCUAAUACCGCAUACCAUCGGAUGUGCCCAGAUGGGAUUAGCGAGUAGGGGGGGUAACGGCUCACCUAGGCGACGAUCCCUCGCUGGUCUGAGAGGAUGACCAGCCAAACGGGAACUGAGACACGGCCCAGACUCCUACGGGAGGCAGCAGUGGGGAAUAUUGGACAAUGGGCGCAAGCAUGAUGAAGCCAGGCCGCGUGUAUGAAGAAGGCCUUCGGGUUGUAAAGUAUUUUCAGCGGGGAGGCGUUACCCGAAGAAGAAGCACCGGCUAACUCCGUGCCAGCAGCCGCGGUAAUUC